UGUGAGGCUCUGGGUUCAAUCACUGGUACCGCACACAGAAAGGAAAAAAAUCAAACAAAAGACUAUGCCAAAUGUUGGAAGAAUUGGAGCAACUGGAACUCUCAUCACUACUGGCUAGAAUAUAAAGGAGCAUAACUACUUUGGACAGCUACUGGCUGGCUGCCUAGUAACCUGGGCAGCAACAUCCGGGCUCUGCUUCCUCAUCUCCGGUGGCCUACGGGAAGUUGCACGCACUCCGGGAGAUAAUGCACACAGUCAGCCACUGCUCUUGUCCUGUGUGAGGCCCCAGCAGAAGGCCUUCAGAAAACGGUGACGCAAGAAUUCUGCAGGUCUCCUACCUCUUGCCCCUGCUCCCUGAGCCCUUCUUCUCAUGAGAUAAACUCUGUGCGCUCAGACUGCCAAGAACAGGGCACGCACCCCUCCAGCAACCGUCACGCAGGCCUGAGAGGGUAGGUGGGCACUCUGCCAGCCCAGCACAUCAAGCAAAUGUCUCCCAGCAAAGGUCAGCCUGCCCAAAAUAAGGAAGUACCUGGAACCAGAAAAGGCAGGAGGAAGAAAGCAAUUAUUUCUCCCUGGGGAUGGAGUUGAGAGGAAGGACGCUGGUGUGAUGAUCAAAUCAUGGCCUGGAGUCCUGAGGGCGAAUCCGGGCCCUGACACUAAUUGCUGUCUGACCUUGGCAAAUGUGCUUACCCUCCCAGUGACUCUGUUUUGCUGCCGAAAGAUGAGGACAAUAGUGACAACACGCCUGCCUGGUAGCAUUUCUGUGAGGAUUGAGUGAGUUAAUCGAUAUAAAGUGGUUGGAACUGAGCCUGACGCAGGGAGAGAGCCCGGGUACCCACUGCUGCUUCACGGAUGGUGCACCAAUUUCAAGGGGGGCUGCAGCAACCCCUCCCAUCCCACACGCCCUGUUCCAGAGUCCCUGCCCGGACGAAGAGGUGGCGUUUCCUUUCCCGCUGAAUCUUGACUGGCUUGGAUCUCGGUGGCUCUAUGAGUUGUGGCAGAAGUGACAGUCUUGGACUUCUGGGCCUUAGGAGCAUUUGCAACUUCCAUGCUAUGAGGAAGCACAAAUCACACGAAAGACUGGGGCAGGUCCGGCUGGGAUCUCGGCUGACAGCCAGCACCCAGCGCUGCUUGUGUGACUGAGGAAGCCUUUGAGGUGACUUGCUCCAGCCCCAACCAUUGUUUGACUGACCCUGCACGAAAGCCACUGCGCUGGGGCCACUCAAUUCCCACUGCUGUGAGGGAUAAUCAAGUGACUACUGUUGGGGCUGGGGAUUUAGCUCAGCGGCACAGCGCCUGCCUGGCAAGCACGAGGUCGU